GCCGAUGUGGUGGAAUGGCAGACACAAGGGACUUAAAAUCCCUCGCUCCGCAAGGGGCGUGCCGGUUCAAGUCCGGCCAUCGGCACCA
rnacentral:tRNA from 1 species